CUUGGUAGGUUGGCUGGGUCACCGGACACAUUUUUUAAACUAGAUACCCCAAUGAUGAUUCUGGCCAAGUUUGGUUAAAUUUGGCCCUGUAGUUUCAGAGGAGAAAAUUUUUGUAAAAGUUAACGACGGACGACUGAUGCCAAGUGAUGAGAAAAACUCACUUGGCCCUUCAGGCCAGGCGAGCUAACAAGAAAUUUGUUAAGGGUGGCCAAGUCAUUUUGAAUCUUAGAAAGCUAAAUGACACAGUGGCAGAUCCAGAAAUUUUCAUAAGUGG
rnacentral:lncRNA from 1 species